UACGUAGGGUGCAAGCGUUAUCCGGAAUUAUUGGGCGUAAAGAGCUCGUAGGCGGUUUGUCGCGUCUGCUGUGAAAACUGGAGGCUCAACCUCCAGCCUGCAGUGGGUACGGGCAGACUAGAGUGCGGUAGGGGGAGACUGGAAUUCCUGGUGUAGCGGUGAAAUGCGCAGAUAUCAGGAGGAACACCGGUGGCGAAGGCGGGUCUCUGGGCCGUAACUGACGCUGGAGGAGCGAAAAGCCGUGGGGAGCGAACAGG
rnacentral:rRNA from 1 species